rnacentral:rRNA from 1 species
GAUGAACGCUGGCGGCGUGCCUAAUACAUGCAAGUCGAGCGAACAGACGAGGAGCUUGCUCCUCUGACGUUAGCGGCGGACGGGUGAGUAACACGUGGAUACCCUACCUAUAAGACUGGGAUAACUUCGGGAAACCGGAGCUAAUACCGGAUAAUAUAUUAAACCGCAUGGCUCAAUAGUGAAAGACGGUUUUGCUGUCCCUUAUAGAUGGAUCCGCGCCGCAUUAGCUAGUUGGUAAGGUAACGGCUUACCAAGGCAACGAUGCGUAGCCGACCUGAGAGGGUGAUCGGCCACACUGGAACUGAGACACGGUCCAGACUCCUACGGGAGGCAGCAGUAGGGAAUCUUCCGCAAUGGGCGAAAGCCUGACGGAGCAACGCCGCGUGAGUGAUGAAGGUCUUCGGAUCGUAAAACUCUGUUAUUAGGGAAGAACAAAUGUGUAAGUAACUAUGCACGUCUUGACGGUACCUAAUCAGAAAGCCACGGCUAACUACGUG